AUACGUAGGGUGCAAGCGUUAAUCGGAAUUACUGGGCGUAAAGCGUGCGCAGGCGGUUUUGUAAGACAGUGGUGAAAUCCCCGGGCUCAACCUGGGAACUGCCAUUGUGACUGUAAGGCUGGAGUGCGGCAGAGGGGGAUGGAAUUCCGCGUGUAGCAGUGAAAUGCGUAGAUAUGCGGAGGAACACCGAUGGCGAAGGCAAUCCCCUGGGCGUGCACUGACGCUCAGGCACGAAAGCGUGGGGAGCAAACAGGAUUAGAUACCCUGGUAGUCCACGCCCUAAACGAUGUCAACUGGUUGUUGGGGAUUUAUUUUCUCAGUAACGAAGCUAACGCGUGAAGUUGACCGCCUGGGGAGUACGGCCGCAAGGUUAAAACUCAAAGGAAUUGACGGGG
rnacentral:rRNA from 1 species